UUGAAUUUUAAUGAAGAGUUUGGUUGUAGCUGGCCCAUUCAUUUGGGCAUGUGCACACCUUCCUCUUUCAUCCCACACACACCUGUGAACCAUGUGAGACAGAGAUGGGGAAUUUACUUGCUGCUUUUUGGAAUACAAAGGCAAUAGGUGAUUGGACCCCCCCUCUGUCUACUCAAUUAAUAUAAACUCAAUUUAUUUUAAAACGAAUGUAAUGGAUGUAACACAUCUCAUAC
rnacentral:misc_RNA from 1 species